GAUGAACGCUGGCGGCGUGCCUAACACAUGCAAGUCGAGCGAUCUUCUUCGGAAGAGAGCGGCGGACGGGUGAGUAACGCGUGGGUAACCUGCCCUGUACACACGGAUAACAUACGGAAAGGUAUGCUAAUACGAGAUAAUAUGCUUUUAUCGCAGGGUAGAAGUAUCAAAGCUCCGGCGGUACAGGAUGGACCCGCGUCUGAUUAGCUAGUUGGUAAGGUAACGGCUUACCAAGGGGACGAUCAGUAGCCGACCUGAGAGGGUGAUCGGCCACCUUGGAACGGAGACACGGUCCAAACUCCUACGGGAGGCAGCAGUGGGGAAUAUUGCACAAUGGGCGAAAGCCUGAUGCAGCAACGCCGCGUGAGCGAUGAAGGCCUUCGGGUCGUAAAGCUCUGUCCUCAAGGAAGAUAAUGACGGUACUUGAGGAGGAAGCCCCGGCUAACUACGUGCCAGCAGCCGCCGUAA
rnacentral:rRNA from 1 species